CUACGGGGGGCAGCAGUGGGGAAUCUUAGACAAUGGGCGCAAGCCUGAUCUAGCCAUGCCGCGUGAGUGAUGAAGGCCUUAGGGUCGUAAAGCUCUUUCGCUGGGGAAGAUAAUGACGGUACCCAGUAAAGAAACCCCGGCUAACUCCGUGCCAGCAGCCGCGGUAAUACGGAGGGGGGUAGCGUUGUUCGGAAUUACUGGGCGUAAAGCGCGCGUAGGCGGACUGUUAAGUCGGGGGUGAAAUCCCGGGGCUCAACCCCGGAACGGCCUUCGAUACUGGCAGUCUGGAGUUCGAGAGAGGUGAGUGGAAUUCCGAGUGUAGAGGUGAAAUUCGUAGAUAUUCGGAGGAACACCAGUGGCGAAGGCGGCUCACUGGCUCGAUACUGACGCUGAGGUGCGAAAGUGUGGGGAGCAAACAGGAUUAGAUACCCUAGUAGUC
rnacentral:rRNA from 1 species